GACGAACCACACAAACGUUAUUCGGAAUUACUGGGCUUAAAGGGUGCGUAGGCGGCGCGGAAAGUUGGGUGUGAAAUCCCUCGGCUCAACCGAGGAACUGCGCUCAAUACUACCGAGCUCGAGGGAGACAGAGGUGAGCGGAACUUAGGGUGGAGCGGUGAAAUGCGUUGAUAUCCUAAGGAACACCCGUGGCGAAAGCGGCUCACUGGGUCUCUUCUGACGCUGAGGCGCGAAAGCUAGGGUAGCGAACGGG
rnacentral:rRNA from 1 species